AACCAACAGGCAGCUUAGCUGAGCUAGUGUAGCAAACCCUGAGCCAGCGGAGCACAUUGGAGGGGCUCAGUUACAUGGAUCACUUAGGUUUAAUGGGAAUGGGCACAUCUUUCAUGCCCUGAUCUCAAAGGGCUUUAGAAAUGUGAGCUCCCCAAAGCUGACUGUGCCUCUGGGUGGUGAGCACUUGAAAGAGUUGAAGUUAUUUUAUUUUGUCUCCCUGGGGUCCAUCCUAGUAUGUUGGAUUUGGAAUCCCUUGCUAAACUUCCUUCUUAGAAGAAGAGGUGGAUGGAGAUAAUUGGCAGGAGUUUUUGGAAUUCUCUCCAGGGGAAGCUCUCAGGAUCAGGUGAUUCGUCUAGGGGAGAGCUGCAGGUGCCUUCGCCCCCAUAUCCUCUCCCACUCCUGGUCUGCCGAAUCUGGAUGCUGCCUGCUUGACAGUGGAACCUGCCAAAAGACUAUAAAAGCCAGGGAAAACUGUCGAAGUCUCCCUGGUAUAGCUGGCCCUUGUGAAGAACCCUGCUCCCCUGCCCCUAGUCUUGAUAACUCUCAUUUCUCCUCUGUACCCCCUUUUGUGUCUCCCCUGCCUCUCUGACUGGGCAGGAAAAGCAAAAUUAAGACAAUGAAUAAAGCCGUGAAGACAGCCAAGGA